GUAAAUCACACUUACCACUGAUUCAAAGUCUCUUUAUUUUCUCACUCUUUCUGCCAGUGUCGGUAGCUGUAACUGACGGACGUGAAGUAACUGUUGGCUAAAUAUCUUGUUUGUCUUCUCUUUUUAUUCUAUGAGACUCAACAUCCAGGACUUGUUGACAGCAGAGACGAUGCGUUUACCCCGGAGCAGAUGAGAAGGAUGGACGACUAGAGGAGAGCGCUGGUCGCCUUUCUUUCACUCCGCUAACGAUGGCUGGACUCCUCCUCUUUGUUUUGGUCCUCAUUGGUAGUCAAACUGAGCCCACCACCACCACCACAGCCACCAGCCAAGGGGAUGAGCAAUAUUUGACAAUAUAUGAUAUCUGAAAUAAAAGAUAAUUAUUUGAUUUU